CAAACGUUCAUUCAGUCCAUCUGCCCGUCCUGGUCAGAUCAUCUCAGCUCAGAAUGGAGAAUCCCCAUACUAUGAAGAGGGGCCCUUCUUACCAGACAUCAGCGCGCUUGAUAUGUUGGUGUGUUUUCUUGUCGUUCGUUGUUUGUCUGUCUUUUGCAUUCAGUGUCUAGUCUUUCAAGCGUGUGUUGUCGCUUGAUAAAGAAUUUAACUCAAGAACUGAGACGAACAAUUCAGGAGAGGAACGAUUCGCCACUUCAGAUAAUAACGUGGCUGAUGGAAAGGAGGUGAAAAAACUUGGUAGCAGAAAACAUCGUUCUCGACUCCCAGCGCAACGACAAUCCUUGGUUCCUGAAAACAUCCUACUCUAUGGCGAUGGACGCAGAUAUGAACUGAAAGAAACGGAUGCCAUCACACAAUGGACCAUGGGAAACAACAAUGGAAACAACAUUGUUUAUCGUCCCAGUGUGGGUCGUGUCGAGGUGAUGAGAGAUGGAUUGUACUUCAUUUACAGCCAAAUGUGCUUUUCUGGAAACAGAAACCCGGGAACAGCUGGCCAUCGUAAUUUUAUCAACCAAGAACAAAAGAUAAGAUCCGUGAUUGGCCGACAAGACACAAGUAUCGCCUGUCGCUAUCAUGGCGGUGCUUUUUAUCUGCGUGCGCAUGACACAAUUGCCGUGAAGCCAACAGCCACUGGUCAAUACUACAUGUCGGGGACGGGCUCAUUUCUUGGAGUCUUCCUUAUCUAGAGCAACUCAAAAAGCAUUUUGGGUUUCUUUUUUUUCCUUACUACGAGUUAAUGUUUGCCUAGAUUUUGUAGUUUUGUAGUAAUAAUAGUUGAGUAAUCAUCAAUUACUAACGCGCGUUAAAACCUUAAGCACGACAAGAAAGUAAGAUGUCAUAGAUGUAACACAGCAUGAGAAAGAGCAGAAAAUGAGUCUGUACUACUAUUCUUUCUUGAGGUCAUUUCUUUUCUAAAAGCUGUUAGACACCAUGAUUUGAUAAGCUACUUCUAAAGCAAUAGCACUAUACGAAAAUUAAAAACAUUUGAAGAAAAUA
rnacentral:misc_RNA from 1 species